GUUCCCUCUCUCUUCGUCUCCUACUUCUCUCCUUCUUCCUCAACAUAACAAUGACACCCUCAUUAACCCCGGCCUAGAAAACCCCAAACGGAGGUGGUCAGAAGUGGCGGCGACCUUAAAUACCCUCAACCCUAAACUCAAUUUUAGAACCACAACAAUAAUAGCAUUAAUCAAAAUGAAAACAAAACCUAAGCUAAGUAUUUUGAGGGAUACCGUCUGUGCCGUGAAUCUUGAUUUUUGUGCUUCUGAUUCUUUUGGUUCCCUCGAUCUAAUCCUUCUCCUUCUUCUGAUUCGCAUGUGUUGA